GAUGAACGCUGGCGGCGUGCCUAAUACAUGCAAGUAGAACGCUGAAGGAGGAGCUUGCUCUUCUGGAUGAGUUGCGAACGGGUGAGUAACGCGUAGGUAACCUGCCUGGUAGCGGGGGAUAACUAUUGGAAACGAUAGCUAAUACCGCAUGACAACAGUUAUUGCAUGAUAACUGUUUAAAAGGGGCAACUGCUCCACUACCAGAUGGACCUGCGUUGGAUUAGCUAGUUGGUGAGGUAACGGCUCAACAAGGCGACGAUACAUAGUCGACCUGAUAAGGGGGUCCGCCAAACUGGGACUGAGACCAGGCCCAGACUCCUAAGGGAGGCAGCAGUAGGGGAUCUUCGGGAAUGGACGGAAGUCUGAACGAGCAACGCCGCGGGAGUGAAGAAGGUUUUCGGAUCGUAAAGCCCCGUUGUAAGAGAAGAAAGAGAGUGGGAGUGGAAAGUUCACACUGUGACGGUAUCUUACCAGAAAGGGACGGCUAACUACGUG
rnacentral:rRNA from 1 species